CGAAGGAUGCAAGCGUUAUCCGGAUUCAUUGGGUUUAAAGGGAGCGUAGGUGGCCUUAUAAGUCAGUGGUGAAAUCUCUCGGCUUAACCGAGAAAUUGCCAUUGAUACUGUAGGGCUUGAGUAUAGUUGCCGUUGGCGGAAUAUGACAUGUAGUGGUGAAAUACAUAGAGAUGUCAUAGAACACCGAUUGCGAAGGCAGCUGACGAAACUAUAACUGACACUGAGGCUCGAAAGUGCGGGGAUCAAACAGGAUUAGAUACCCUGGUAGUCCGCACUGUAAACGAUGAUUACUCGCUGCUAGAGGGCAACUUUUAGUGGCUUAGCGAAAGCGAUAAGUAAUCCACCUGGGGAGUACGCCGGCAACGGUG
rnacentral:rRNA from 1 species